rnacentral:rRNA from 1 species
UACGAAGGGUGCAAGCGUUACUCGGAAUUACUGGGCGUAAAGCGUGCGUAGGUGGUGAGUUAAGUCUGUCGUGAAAGCCCCGGGCUCAACCUGGGAAUGGCGAUGGAUACUGGCUCGCUAGAGUGCGGUAGAGGAGAGUGGAAUUCCCGGUGUAGUGGUGAAAUGCGUAGAUAUCGGGAGGAACACCAGUGGCGAAGGCGACUACCUGGCCUGUUCUUGACGCUGAGGCGCGAAAGCUAGGGGAGCAAACGGG